CUUCUGUCCCUGACUUGAAUGCCACUUUUCAGUAAAGCUGGGCCUCUUUUCUCUGCAUCAAGAGGAAAGCAAGGACAAAGAUCAGAAGCUCUGAAAAUACCAAUAGAAAAAAUGAAGAGAACUGCAGUGACUUAACCUGGAGAAAACAACAGUAGGUGAUCACACUAUACCAUGGUGUGGGUCUUCAAACAAAGAAAAGGAAACUGCAAAGGCAAUAUUCUGCUUUCAGUAUACAGAGAAAAGAAGCCUCAAGAAGAGGACAGCAUCAUAGAAUCACAGAAUCACUAAGGUUGGAAAAGACCUCGAGGAUCAUCUGGUCCAACCAUUCCCCUCCCACCAAUGUCAUCCACUAUACCAUGUCCCUAAGCACCACGUCCAACCUUUCCUUGAACACCCCCAGGGAUGGUGACUCCAACACUUCCCUGGGCAACCCAUUCCAAUACCUGACAACUCUUUCUGAGAAGUCUUCUCACUUCAAUUCUCCACUAAGAGAAAGAUCAAAUGAGACUACUUAGUGGGGUAUGAAGCUCAUGAAACUUUCCAACAAGCCAAUUUGAACUUGUUCUUGUGUUAUGCAGAGGUUCCUGGCAUGCCAAACUGAUUUUGGCUUUGAAUGAAGCAAACUUGCCGUGAAUCAAUUUGUGGGGAAGAACAAAACAACAACAACAAAAUGCACUACGUAUUUCCAUUGAUCUCUAUUAGAUCCAAAGAAAAGGAUGAGCAGAAACAAAUCCAUGCUGAAAAGAGGCACUGAAAGGGAGCUGUUCUGCAAGAAGGUGAAGGUGUAAUAACACCAAUAUGAUAAUUGCCAUAGUCCUGUUUAUUAGCUGUAAUUUACAAAUUCAGAGAUUAAGGGGAACUACACUUGUUAAAUAGCCUCUAUAUUUGCUAUAAAUCAGCUUCCCUGUUUACUAUAAACAUAACCUGACUGUGGAAUCAGUGAUGACAAUGAUGAAAGAAUUAUUUCUGCUCCUCUGAGAAGCUUGGCAGCUUUCCUAUUGCUAAUGCUUUCUUUGCAUCUCCUAACAGUUCAAGCCUAUUUACUGCAAUCUUCAUUGUGGGUCCUGACUACUCUCUGUCUUUAGUCUCUUUUUAAGCCUGACUUUGAGUAAUAGCUUUCUAAAAAUGCCUUGAAGUCCAUUUUAAAUGUGACAAAAUGGUCUGUAAGAGACUAGGGAAAUGUACAAACCUCAUGGGAUUUACCCAAAACCCCCUGAAGAAGGGAUGGAAACUAAUUGCUGUCUAUAUUCACCUACUGUGUUAAACAUUUUUUAUGGAGACAAUACUAAUAUAUUUUUUACUAUGGAGCUGCAGCUUUUCUCACAAGAAUGUCAAUCAAUUGAAUGUUAAGAUGUUACUCAGAUAAAGAAAAGGUCCAGAAAAGAAUGUCCCAUAUGGGAACACUUUCAGGUACACUACUAUUUUCCAGGACAUUUCAGAACUUCAUGGAAGAUCCUCCCAUGUGUAGAUGAACUUUACAGACCCAGAUGCUGAACGAGAGGUGUAAUCAAGUCU
rnacentral:lncRNA from 1 species